rnacentral:hammerhead_ribozyme from 1 species
ACCCAGCAGACGAGUCCCAAACAGGAUAAAGCACGCGUCCUGGAU